rnacentral:tRNA from 1 species
GGCACUGUCUUCUAAUGGUUAGGAAGGUGGACUUUCACUCCGCAAAUGCGAGUUCGAUUCUCGUCAGUGCUCCCA